rnacentral:lncRNA from 1 species
CCAUUCUCUGGUAAGUCGCGACAACGGACGUCGCUCCGCUCCCCGUGGCAGACUCCAUGUGGCACGCCCCGGUGAUAGCCACGGGUCUACUCCACUACUCUCCGCAACAAACUCCUCCUGACUCUGGGCGGCCCACUGCCAGAUGGUUACAGACAUGGCUAUCAGUUUGUUGCCCCCUCCGUCUAUAAAAGGGGGACCCCC